rnacentral:rRNA from 1 species
CCUACGGGAGGCUGCAGUGAGGAAUAUUGGUCAAUGGACGAGAGUCUGAACCAGCCAAGUAGCGUGAAGGAUGACUGCCCUAUGGGUUGUAAACUUCUUUUAUCUGGGAAUAAAACGUUCCACGUGUGGGAUUUUGUAUGUACCAUAUGAAUAAGGAUCGGCUAACUCCGUGCCAGCAGCCGCGGUAAUACGGAGGAUCCGAGCGUUAUCCGGAUUUAUUGGGUUUAAAGGGAGCGUAGGUGGAUUGUUAAGUCAGUUGUGAAAGUUUGCGGCUCAACCGUAAAAUUGCGGUUGAAACUGGCAGUCUUGAGUACAGUAGAGGUAGGCGGAAUUCGUGGUGUAGCGGUGAAAUGCUUAGAUAUCACGAAGAACUCCGAUUGCGAAGGCAGUUCACUGGACUGCAACUGACACUGAGGCUCGAAAGUGUGGGUAUCAAACAGGAUUAGAUACCCUUGUAGUC